UACGGGGGGGGCAAGCGUUGUUCGGAAUUACUGGGCGUAAAGGGCUCGUAGGCGGCCAACUAAGUCCGACGUGAAAUCCCAAGGCUUAACCUUGGAACUGCGUCGGAUACUGGAUGGCUUGAAUUCGGGAGAGGGAUGCAGAAUUCCAGGUGUAGCGGUGAAAUGCGUAGAUAUCUGGAGGAAUACCGGGGGCGAAGGCGGCAUCCUGGACCGACAUUGACGCUGAUGAGCGAAAGCUAGGGGAGCAAACGGG
rnacentral:rRNA from 1 species